rnacentral:rRNA from 1 species
GACAGAGGUGCCGAGCGUUAGGCGGAAUCACUGGGCUUAAAGCGUGUGUAGGCGGGUCCGUAAGUACCUUGUGAAAUCCCACGGCUCAACCGUGGAACUGCUGGGUAUACUGCGGGUCUUGAGCCACCUAGGGGCAAGCGGAACAAGCGGUGGAGCGGUGAAAUUCGUAGAUAUUCGCAAGAACACCAGUGGCGAAGGCGGCUCACUGGCCCGAUACUGACGCUGAGGCACGAAAGCGUGGGGAGCAAACAGG